GUGAACGCUGGCGGUAGGCCUAACACAUGCAAGUCGCACGGCAGCACAGUAAGAGCUUGCUCUUACGGGUGGCGAGUGGCGGACGGGUGAGGAAUACGUCGGAAUCUACUUUUUCGUGGGGGAUAACGUAGGGAAACUUACGCUAAUACCGCAUACGACCUACGGGUGAAAGCAGGGGAUCUUCGGACCUUGCGCGAUUGAAUGAGCCGAUGUCGGAUUAGCUAGUUGGGGGGGUAAAGGCCCACCAAGGCGACGAUCCGUAGCUGGUCUGAGAGGAUGAUCAGCCACACUGGAACUGAGACACGGUCCAGACUCCUACGGGAGGCAGCAGUGGGGAAUAUUGGACAAUGGGCGCAAGCCUGAUCCAGCCAUACCGCGUGGGUGAAGAAGGCCUUCGGGUUGUAAAGCCCUUUUGUUGGGAAAGAAAAGCAGCAGGUUAAUACCCCGCUGUUCUGACGGUACCCAAAGAAUAAGCACCGGCUAACUUCGUG
rnacentral:rRNA from 1 species